AAACAUAAUAUUCAAGAAGUACAAACCAUCAUUAUACACAGCUAUGAUAGCUGAGAUAAUGAACAAAUCCAAGGAAUUCUUUAAGAUCCCUAAAUAUUACAAAACAGGCAUCAAUGAGGACUGCCACACAUUACACAAUUGCAAAAAAAACAAAACAAACUUCAGCAUCCAUACAGCACCAACAAAACAUCACCCACAAC
rnacentral:lncRNA from 1 species